rnacentral:rRNA from 1 species
UACGGGGGGAGCAAGCGUUGUUCGGAUUUACUGGGCGUAAAGGGCGCGUAGGCGGCCACCGCAAGUCGACUGUGAAAUCUCCGGGCUUAACCCGGAAAGGUCGGCCGAUACUGCGGGGCUAGAGUGCAGAAGGGGCAACUGGAAUUCUCGGUGUAGCGGUGAAAUGCGUAGAUAUCGAGAGGAACACCUGCGGCGAAGGCGGGUUGCUGGGCUGACACUGACGCUGAGGCGCGAAAGCUAGGGGAGCGAACGGG